rnacentral:rRNA from 1 species
GACGAACGCUGGCGGCGUGCUUAACACAUGCAAGUCUACGAGAAAAAGGUAGCAAUAUCUUGAUUAAAGUGGCGCACGGGUGAGUAACACGUAAGUAAUCUACCCUUAGAUUUGGAAUAACCCCGCGAAAGUGGGGCUAAUACCGUAUAAUGCAGCGGCACCGCAUGGUGAUGUUGUUAAAGUUUAUAUGACGUCUAUGGAUGAGCUUGCGUCCGAUUAGCUAGUUGGUAGGGUAAAAGCCUACCAAGGCAACGAUCGGUAGCUGGUCUGAGAGGAUGAUCAGCCACACUGGAACUGAGACACGGUCCAGACUCCUACGGGAGGCAGCAGUGAGGAAUAUUGGGCAAUGCCCGAAAGGGUGACCCAGCAACGCCGCGUGGAGGAUGAAGGCCGUAAGGUUGUAAACUCCUGUUAGAGGGGAAGA